UAUUUAAAGAUUUAAAAAUCACCAUAAUAGCUUCAAUAUUAUGCUCUAAACUUAAGCUAUUUAAAU
rnacentral:tRNA from 1 species